GGGCCUAUAGCUCAGAUGGCUAGAGCGCACCCCUGAUAAGGGUGAGGUCGAUAGUUCAAUCCUAUCUAGGCCCACCA
rnacentral:tRNA from 1 species